UACGAAGGGGGCUAGCGUUGCUCGGAAUCACUGGGCGUAAAGGGUGCGUAGGCGGGUCUUUUAAGUCAGGGGUGAAAUCCUGGAGCUCAACUCCAGAACUGCCUUUGAUACUGAAGAUCUUGAGUUCGGGAGAGGUGAGUGGAACUGCGAGUGUAGAGGUGAAAUUCGUAGAUAUUCGCAAGAACACCAGUGGCGAAGGCGGCUCACUGGCCCCGGUACUGACGCUGAGGUGCGAAAGCGUGGGGAGCAAACAGG
rnacentral:rRNA from 1 species